GAGAAGUCAUUACUUUUUGUGGGGCCCACAGGCACUGGAGAGGCUGCUCUUACAAACCGCUUCCUGCGACAGUUACCUCAUGAAAAAUAUGUUAUAUGUCAAAUUAACUUCACGGUGCAGACCUCAGCUAAGCAGACCCAGGACAUCUCCCUAACGGAACUUGAAAGAUAUUAAAGAACAAACAUCAGAGACAUAAAUAAAAAUCUCUGCUUUACACAGGAUUCAUAUUCUCUGCAAUUUCUCAUUGAUUAGUCCAGGGCUGAUCUUAUUGAAGGCUGAACAAGGACCUCCAGGAAUUGAAGAAACACAAAAAUGAAUGUGAUUCUGGAUUUCAUCGUAUCUACUGAGCCUGACGUGGUAACUUUGCUAACAUUUGUGAGUGGCAAUUCCUAAGCACCAGCACAAAGCUGGGAAGCUUCUGGCAAUUUUAAGAAAGACUUUGAAGUUCAAUAAUAAAAGUUUAUUGAAUGCA